rnacentral:misc_RNA from 1 species
AAGUCGUAACAAGGUAACCGUAGGUGAACCUGCGGUUGGAUCAUUAAUAAAUUUAUAAAAAGUUUAUAACCCUAACAGGUUAUAAAUCCUUUUUUAACAUUUUGUGAACUGUUUAUUGUCUCUGGUGGGGCUUAAAGGAUUUUUUUAGUAAAAUCUGAAAUUAUUUUAAUUCAUUAAGGUAAUUUUACCCACCAACCAAAAAUUGAACUUUUUAUUUUUAAUAUUAUUUUGUCUUGAAUUAAAUUAUUAUCUAAUUUAAACAACUUUUGACAACGGAUCUCUAGGCUCUC